GCAUCGAUGAAGAACGCAGCGAACUGCGAUACGUAAUGCGAAUUGCAGGAUUCAGUGAGUCAUCGAAAUUUUGAACGCAUAUUGCACUUCCGGGUUAGUCCUUGGGAGUAUGCCUGUAUCAGUGUCCGUACAUCAAACUUGCCUCCCUUCCUUCCGUGUAGUCGGUGGAUGGGGACGUGCAGACGUGAAGUGUCUUGCGAUUGGUCUUCGGGCCGGCUGCGAGUCCUUUUAAAUGUACAGAACGGUACUUCUCUUUGCUCGAAAAGCAUAAUGGAAUUGGUUGUGGAAGCUUCCCGGUGGCAAGUCGGCGACUGGGUUUGUCUGCUACGGCGUUUAAUGGAGGAGUGUUCGAUUCGCGGUAUGGUUAGCUUCGGCUGAACAAUGCGCUUAUUGGAUGUUUUUCCUGCUGUGGUGGUAAUGACUGGUGAACCGUAGCUAUGCAGGGAUUGGCCUUUGAACUGAGGAUGUUGUGUGAAGUAGAGUGGCGGUUUGGCGCAAGCUGGGCUGUCGAGGGUCGAUCCUAUUUGGGAAAUUUGUGUUGGCGGCUUCGGCUGUUGGCAUCUCAAUUGGACCUGAUAUCAGGCAAGAUUACCCGCUGAACUUAAGCAUAUCAAUAAGCGGAGGA
rnacentral:rRNA from 1 species